GUGUGUGUGUCUGUGUGUGACUGUCUGUGUGAGUGUGUGACUGUCUGUGUGUGACUGUCUGUGUGAGUGUGUGACUGUCUGUGUGUGACUGUGUGAGUGUGUGACUGUCUGUGUCUGUGUGAGUGCGUGACUGUCUGUGUGACUGUGUGUGACUGUCUGUGUCUGUGUGAGUGUGUGACUGUCUGUGUGUGACUGUCUGUGUGAGUGUGUGACUGUGUGUGUGCGUCUCGUGAGCGUGCGGACUGUCUUAUGUGGACUGUGUGCGGACUGUCUGGGUGUCUGUGUGGAGUGUGCGGGACUGUGUCUGUGUGAGUGUGUGACUGUCUGUGUGUGACUGUCUGUGUGAGUGUGUGACUGUCUGUGUCUGUGUGUGACUGUCUGUGUGUGACUGUGUGUGAGUGUGUGACUGUGUGAGUGUGUGACUGUCUGUGAUUGUCUGUGUGAGUGUGUGACUGUCUGUGUGAGCGUGUGACUGUGUGUGUGAGUGUGUGACUGUGUGACUGUGUGAGUGUGUGAGCAUGUGACUGUGUGUGACUGUCUGUAUGAGUGUGUGACUGUCUGUAUGAGUGUG